rnacentral:rRNA from 1 species
GGUUGCGAUCAUACCAGCACUAACGCACCGGAUCCCAUCAGAACUCCGCAGUUAAGCGUGCUUGGGCGAGAGUAGUACUAGGAUGGGUGACCCCUUGGGAAGUCCUCGUGUUGCAACCC